rnacentral:rRNA from 1 species
UACGGGGGGGGGCAAGCGUUGUUCGGAAUUACUGGGCGUAAAGGGCUCGUAGGUGGCCAACUAAGUCAGACGUGAAAUCCCUCGGCUUAACCGGGGAACUGCGUCUGAUACUGGAUGGCUAGAGUUUGGGAGAGGGAUGCGGAAUUCCAGGUGUAGCGGUGAAAUGCGUAGAUAUCAGGAGGAACACCGGUGGCGAAGGCGGGACUCUGGGCCGAUACUGACGCUGAGGAGCGAAAGCGUGGGGAGCAAACAGG